rnacentral:rRNA from 1 species
AUACGGAGGGUGCAAGCGUUAUCCGGAUUCACUGGGUUUAAAGGGUGCGUAGGUGGGCAAGUAAGUCAGUGGUGAAAUCUCCGGGCUUAACCCGGAAACUGCCAUUGAUACUAUUUGUCUUGAAUACCGUGGAGGUCAGCGGAAUAUGUCAUGUAGCGGUGAAAUGCUUAGAUAUGACAUAGAACACCAAUUGCGAAGGCAGCUGGCUACACGAAUAUUGACACUGAGGCACGAAAGCGUGGGGAUCAAACAGG